AGAGUUUGAUCCUGGCUCAGGAUGAACGCUGGCGGUAUGCUUAACACAUGCAAGUCGAACGAAAGUUUUUAACUUUAGUGGCGAACGGGUGCGUAAUACGUGAGAAUCUGCCCUUAGGAGAAGAAUAACUGCUGGAAACGGCUGCUAAAUCUUCAUAUGCCGAGAGGUGAAAUAGUUUAGGCUGCCUAAGGAUGAGCUCGCGCCUGAUUAGCUAGUUGGUAAGGUAAUGGCUUACCAAGGCCACGAUCAGUAGCUGGUUUGAGAGAACGAUCAGCCACACUGGGACUGAGACACGGCCCAGACUCCUCCGGGAGGCAGCAGUGAGGAAUUUUCCGCAAUGGGCGAAAGCCUGACGGAGCAAUACCGCGUGAGGGAUGAAGGAUUUUGGUCUGUAAACCUCUUUUCUCAAGAAAGAAGUUCUGACGGUACUUGAGGAAUAAGCAUCGGCUAACUCCGUGCCAGCAGCCGCGGUAAUACGGGGGAUGCAAGCGUUAUCCGGAAUCAUUGGGCGUAAAGCGCCUGUAGGUUGUUUAAUAAGUCUGUUGUUAAAGACUAGGGCUCAACCCUAGGAAAGCAAUGGAAACUGCUAGACUUGAGUAUGAUAGGGGUAGAGGGAAUUUCUAGUGUAGCGGUGAAAUGCGUAGAUAUUAGAAAGAACACCGGUGGCGAAAGCGCUCUACUGGACCAUUACUGACACUCAGAGGCGAAAGCUAGGGUAGCAAAAGGGAUUAGAUACCCCUGUAGUCCUAGCCGUAAACGAUGGAUACUAGAUGUUGUGCUUUGUACAGUAUCGUAGCUAACGCGUUAAGUAUCCCGCCUGGGGAGUACGCUCGCAAGGGUGAAACUCAAAGGAAUUGACGGGGGCCCGCACAAGCGGUGGAGCAUGU
rnacentral:rRNA from 1 species